UACGGGCACCCUUAGAAAUGACGAGGAAUGUGAUGAUGUAAUAUGUGUGUGACGGAAGUCAGCCUGUAGUCCACUCUCUUGCUUCUCCGUCAGGAUGGGGACCCAGGUUAAAGACGUGGUCAUUAAACCUGAUGCUCCAAACACUCUCCUCCUAGACAAGCAUGCCGACUAUAUUGCAGCCUAUGGCUCCAAGAAGGAUGACUAUGAGUACACGCUGUCCGAAUACUUGAGAAUGAGUGGCAUCUACUGGGGUCUGACAGUAAUGGACCUGAUGGGUCAGCUGUCUCGAAUGAACCGCA